CCCGGACACGCUCGGAAAACCGCUGUCGAACAGUAGUUAAAGUACACUACUACUGCGAUCGCUAUCGUGUGCUCGGAUUUUUAACGGCGGCCGUGGCGGUACACCGUGUCAACCGGUACGGUUUCGGCGCGCAUCAUAAAUAUAUGGACUUUUGUUGUCAAUAUACUUGUCAAUUUAAAACAUGAAAUCAAUUUCAAAUGUUGUUCAAUCCAACCACUUAAACAUUGACUGCCUCCUUAAAAAAUCCAACAAAUAUCAAACCGUGUAUCUCUCAAACAUUGAAUGCAAUAUUAAUCACAUCUUUCCCAUUGAAAAAGAAGAAGAUUUAUAUACCUACUCGUACAUUUGAAAACAAACUAAAACAAAAAAAUGAUUUCAAAGAAUCAUUGAUGCAGUUAGAAAAAAAAUUCCUGAAAAAGAUAUUGACAACUGCUUUGGUAUAUGGCUAUCUCAUGCGCUAUUUCGCUUUAAAAAAAAAAAAAAUUGCGAACAUAUUUUAUAUUAAAAAAUAAUAAACAAUUGAUGUAUAAUACAAUUUACAGCUUAUUGUUUAAAUAUGCCUUAAUAUUUAAUUUUUAUAAUUCCUUGUUCUUGUGAAAAUAUUUUCUGAAUAUUAGUACAUUAUUAAAUCUAAAACAUUGCAUGUGUGUUUUUAUGGAAAUGUUAUGGUGCAACAUUUUGUGUAUGUUACUAGAUAACAUUAUGGAAAC